rnacentral:rRNA from 1 species
AGUUAUGGUAUGUGGCGAGGUUAAGCCGUUGCAGGUGUAGCCGUAGGGAAACCGAGUCUGAAUAGGGCGUUAGUCGCAUGCUGUAGACCCGAAACGGGAUGAGCUAUCCAUGAGCAGGUUGAAGCGAGGGUAAAACUUCGUGGAGGACCGAACACGUGACGGUUGAAAACGUCUGUGAUGACUUGUGGAUAGGGGUGAAAGGCCAAUCAAACUUGGAAAUAGCUGGUUCUCCGCGAAAUCUAUUUAGGUAGAGCGUCUCAUGAAUACCAUCGGGGGUAGAGCACUGGAUGGGCUAGGGGGUCCCACCGACUUACCAAACCUAACCAAACUCCGAAUACCGAUGAGUACUAUGAGGCAGACACACUGCGGGUGCUAAGGUCCGUAGUGGAGAGGGAAACAGCCCUGACCGCCAGCUAAGGUCCCUAAGUUAUCACUAAGUGG